GGAGGGAUGGCCGAGCGGUUUAAGGCACCGGUCUUGAAAACCGGCGUGGGUGCAAGCCCACCGUGGGUUCGAAUCCCACUCCCUCCG
rfam:Mesorhizobium metallidurans STM 2683, WGS project CATM01000000 data, contig: ANX_1634_Contig_42